rnacentral:lncRNA from 1 species
GUGAAUGAGAUUCAAGUUCUUUCUUCCAACAAAGCUCUAGAAACCAGAAUUGAUGAACUUACCUCUUUAGUGAAACAAUUGAUGUUAUCCCUUCCACCACUAACACCAUCAUAUAACCCUCUACAAGUAACCACCUCUUCACCUUCUGAACCUUUAUUAGAGGAACUUAUCAAGCAAAUGGUUGUAAAUAGUCUCCAAUUUCAGCAGC